GUGCGUCAAAGCGCCGAUUUGUCCGGCUUGCGGGCGCUCAAGAAAUACCGCUAAAGAGGGCGCUGGAACCCGGCC
rnacentral:ncRNA from 1 species